rnacentral:rRNA from 1 species
UAGCAUUUUCANNNUUAGAGGCACUGCCUGCCCAGUGACAUUAGUUAAACGGCCGCGGUAUCCUGACCGUGCAAAGGUAGCAUAAUCAUUUGUUCCUUAAUUAGGGACUUGUAUGAAUGGCCUCACGAGGGUUUAACUGUCUCUUACUUUUAAUCAGUGAAAUUGACCUUCCCGUGAAGAGGCGGGAAUACUAAAAUAAGACGAGAAGACCCUAUGGAGCUUAAAUUAAAUUAUCCAACAAACUUAACUUAAAUCCAACAGGGAUAAAUAUGAUUUAACUGGGUAAUAAAUUUUGGUUGGGGUGACCUCGGAGCAUAACUCAACCUCCGAGCAGUUAAAACUCAGACUUACCCGUCAAAGUUGUACUAUCAAUUGAUCCAAUCUUAUUGAUCAACGGAACAAGUUACCCUAGGGAUAACAGCGCAAUCCUAUUUGAGAGUUCAUAUCGACAAUAGGGUUUACGACCUCGAUGUUGGAUCAGGACACCCAAAUGGUGCAGCAGCUAUUAAAGGUUCGUUUGUUCAACG